rnacentral:misc_RNA from 1 species
GCUUGCGAAGGAGCUGCGCGAUGUGCGCGCCGCUCAGCGAAACCUCGAGACCGAACUCAGGAACGCCGGGAACGAGCGUCAACGCGCCGACCGCAAGGCGUCGAAAGACCUUCGCGCCGCGCGGCGUGAAACCGAGCGGGCGCCGACUGCGCGACGAACGGCGGACGAGCGGGUCACCUCGUUGAAGAGACAGCUUGCCGCCGCCGAGCGACGCAUCCGUGAACUCGAGGAAGAGGUCGAGAAGGAACGUGGGCGCGCCGAACGGGCAGAAAGAUCGCGGCGCGCCACGGGCGGACCGCCUCGCACGCGUCGCCUGCUCAAGGCACCGAAGGGGUUGCUCGAGGAUGCCCCGGAAACGCUCACCGCCUGGCUGGCGGAGCCGGACGUCUCGCUCGUGAUCGACGGGUACAA